rnacentral:hammerhead_ribozyme from 1 species
GCACUACUGAGGAGUCCUAUACUAGGAUGAAACGGCCGUCAAGUAC